rnacentral:piRNA from 1 species
UUCAUAAUGAAACACAAUUGA